rnacentral:rRNA from 1 species
CACGAACCGUGCAAACGUUGUUCGGAAUCACUGGGCUUAAAGGGCGCGUAGGCGGGCGGCCGCGUCCGGGGUGAAAUCCCGCCGCUCAACGGCGGAACGGCCUCGGAUACGGGCGGCCUCGAGGGGGGUAGGGGCGUGCGGAACUCUGGGUGGAGCGGUGAAAUGCGUUGAUAUCCAGAGGAACUCCGGUGGCGAAGGCGGCACGCUGGACCCCUUCUGACGCUGAGGCGCGAAGGCCAGGGGAGCGAACGGG